UACAGAGGGGGCAAGCGUUGUUCGGAAUUACUGGGCGUAAAGGGCGCGUAGGCGGCCUGCUAAGUCGAACGUGAAAUCCCUGGGCUCAACCCAGGAACUGCGUCCGAUACUGGUUGGCUUGAAUCCGGGAGAGGGACGUGGAAUUCCAGGUGUAGCGGUGAAAUGCGUAGAUAUCUGGAGGAAUACCGGUGGCGAAGGCGGCAUCCUGGACCGGCAUUGACGCUGAGGAGCGAAAGCUAGGGGAGCAAACGGG
rnacentral:rRNA from 1 species